rnacentral:rRNA from 1 species
UGGGGAAUAUUGCACAAUGGGCGCAAGCCUGAUGCAGCCAUGCCGCGUGUGUGAAGAAGGCCUUCGGGUUGUAAAGCACUUUCAGCGAGGAGGAAGGUGGUGAGCUUAAUACGCUCAUCAAUUGACGUUACUCGCAGAAGAAGCACCGGCUAACUCCGUGCCAGCAGCCGCGGUAAUACGGAGGGUGCAAGCGUUAAUCGGAAUUACUGGGCGUAAAGCGCACGCAGGCGGUUUGUUAAGUCAGAUGUGAAAUCCCCGGGCUCAACCUGGGAACUGCAUUUGAAACUGGCAAGCUAGAGUCUCGUAGAGGGGGGUAGAAUUCCAGGUGUAGCGGUGAAAUGCGUAGAGAUCUGGAGGAAUACCGGUGGCGAAGGCGGCCCCCUGGACGAAGACUGACGCUCAGGUGCGAAAGCGUGGGGCAGCAAACAGGAUUAGAUACCCUGGUAGUCCACGCUGUAAACGAUGUCGAUUUU